rnacentral:rRNA from 1 species
GACGAACGCUGGCGGCGUGCUUAACACAUGCAAGUCGAACGGUAAGGCCCUUCGGGGUACACGAGUGGCGAACGGGUGAGUAACACGUGGGUGAUCUGCCCUGCACUUCGGGAUAAGCCUGGGAAACUGGGUCUAAUACCGGAUAGGACCACUGCCUGCAUGGGUGGGGGUGGAAAGCUUUUGCGGUGUGGGAUGGGCCCGCGGCCUACCAGCUUGUUGGUGGGGUGAUGGCCUACCAAGGCGACGACGGGUAGCCGGCCUGAGAGGGCUGACCGGCCACACUGGGACUGAGAUACGGCCCAGACUCCUACGGGAGGCAGCAGUGGGGAAUAUUGCACAAUGGGCGCAAGCCGGAUGCAGCGACGCCGCGUGAGGGAUGACGGCCUUCGGGUUGUAAACCUCUUUCAGCACCGACGAAGCGCAAGUGACGGUAGGUGCAGAAGAAGGACCGGCCAACUACGUGCCAGCCGCCGCAGUAA